UACAUCUUAGUUCUUACAUUAUUGAAAAAUGACCAAAAUGGGUUUUUCUCUCCCUGACCCGGAAUCCGGGCUUUCUUCGCCUUAGCAUGUUUCCGUAACAGUGCUUUCUAAGGUUUGUUUCAAUAUCUGUAAAAGUUCCGAAAGUUGUUGCAAAUGUUUGAUGUUCACUUUCUGUAGGGUGGUUGGGAAUGUUUUGGAGAGGGAUAUGUUAGGAAACAAGAAAAAGAACUGAAAAUUUGGUUGUGUUUCGCGGUUUAGUUAGUUGCUUUUUGGUGGGUAUCAUUCAGUUCCUUGAUUCAUUGGUCCAAAUUGACAAUUCUAGUCGAGUUUUGGGAUUACUCUGGAUCUGGGUUCUGGUUAUGCUUCUGUUUUAGAUAAAUUAUGGCGGUUUUUCACAUUUUGGGGGUAUAGAAUUUGUGGUGAUGGUUGAUCAAUGUUACCAAAGUUUAGUUUUUUAAGCUUCUGGGGCUUCUAGAUUUUUUUAUUUCCUUUUUUUGGUGAGAAAUUUGGGAAUUUAAUGGCUUAGUAUUAUGUAUAUAUCAUUUUGGGAGUGAUUUUGGUUGAUUUCGAUAUUUUACAGGAAGAAUUUGAGUUUCAUUUUCUUCAAAGUAUAGAUCUUGGCUUUUGCUUCUGCAUAUUUGAUGAAUGGUGUUUACUAGGUUAUAUUUGGUGAGAAAUGUGGGUUGCUUUGGAGGGAGUGGGAAUAUUUUGAUACAAGUUUUCUGUUGUUUGAGGUGUAGAGAGUUGAGGACUAAAGAGGCAUCAAAUGUCGAUUAAGAGCAUUAUUCAGGAUAUGAGGGGUGAGUUUGGGAGCAUUUCCAGAAAAGGGUUUGAGGUGAAGUUUGGGUAUGGGAUGAGAUCCAGGUCCCACCGGGUAGUCCAGGAUAGCUUGGUGGUUGCAAUUGAUGCUUUUAAGCAGAGCUGUUGGGCUAAUUUACCACCGGAGCUUUUGAGGGAUGUGUUAAUGAGGAUAGAGGCCUCUGAAGGUACUUGGCCUCCCCGGAAAAACGUGGUUGCUUGUGCUGGUGUUUGCAGGAGCUGGAGAGAUAUCAUGAAAGAAAUUGUGAGAUCCCCAGAAAUUUCGGGCAAGUUGACAUUUCCAAUCUCCUUGAAGCAGCCUGGCCCAAGGGACUCCCUCUUUCAUUGUCACAUCAAACGGAAUCGUAGCAGCCAAACAUAUUAUCUUUAUCUUGGCUUAAAUCAAGUUUCAACUGAUGAUGGCAAGUUCCUUCUUGCUGCGCGGAAAUGCCGGCGCCCUACUUGCACAGAUUACAUUAUCUCUUUAAAUUCUGAUGAUGUGUCAAAAGGGAGUACCACCUAUGUGGGAAAGCUGAGAUCAAACUUUCUGGGAACCAAAUUCACAAUCUAUGAUGCGCAACCUCCACAUUCUGAGGCAAAAUUCACCAGGUGUCGUUCGACCAGGAUAGUUAAUUUGAGACAAGUGUCCCCUAAAUUCGCUGCUGGCAACUGUCCCAUUGCCCAUAUUUCAUAUGAAUUGAAUGUGUUGGGCUCCAGGGGUCCUAGGAGAAUGCAGUGUGUCAUGGAUGCCAUUCCUGCCUCUGCUGUUGAGCCAGGAGGUGUGGCAACUCCGUCUGAAUUCCCUCUCGGCAGUCUGGAUAGUUUUCCAUCAUCCCUUUCUUUCUUCAGAUCAAAAUCAACCCGCAGGGAGAGUUUCCAAUCUGGACAUUUUUCUGGUCAGAGUGAGGGAAUGCUGGUUUUAAGUAACAAGGCCCCUAGGUGGCAUGAACAACUCCAGUGCUGGUGUCUGAACUUCAAUGGACGUGUGACAGUUGCUUCAGUUAAGAAUUUCCAGCUGGUUGCUUCUCCCGAGAAUGGAACUUCUGGGCAAGAGCAUGAGAAUGUCAUUCUCCAGUUUGGAAAAGUGGGAAAGGAUGUAUUCACCAUGGAUUAUCAGUAUCCAAUCUCAGCUUUCCAGGCAUUUGCCAUAUGCCUCAGCAGCUUUGACACUAAGAUUGCUUGUGAAUGACUGAAGUGCAGGUCCAGAUUUAGUCUCAUUACUUGGAUUCCCAGUAGUUAAUUGCUAUGUGAGUAGAAGCAAAUAAAAAGAUUUUGUGAUGCAGUAGAAGUUGAUUGGAAGACUAGGGUUGCAGCAUGGACAUCAGGCAACAACGCCUCCAGCGGCUUUCCUCGAGAUGCCAUCUAGGCAGUUAGGCUUUUUACUUUUCUCUGUACAUAAAAAUUGUUGGUGUUGCGAGCAAAACAUGCUUAUGCCGGUUGUCUUCUUGCUAACAUAGUUUUGGUCUUUUUAGUGCUUGCAUAGUGUAUUUUGAGUGUGAGAAAUACUCCUGAGUUGGGACUAGUUUGUGAUUUUCUUAGUAGUGUUGUGUUCUGGCGGCCUAUAUUAUUAUUAUUAUUUUUAUUUUUAUUUAUUUUUAAUAAAUACUGUUUGUUCCUGCUACAUGUUUAAUUUGGAUAUGCAGUACCAUCCUUAAUAGAUAUGUUUCUUGUCAA